rnacentral:lncRNA from 1 species
GGACGCGGGUGUCGCUCAGAGAAGAAGGAAGGGGGGGAGGGGGGGCAUUGGUUCCCCCGGUACCGGUGGGGCCAGGAUGGUCUCACCCACAGACGGUCCCUCCGAGCCGGGGGCUCUGCUCCCGACAGGGCCCGGCCCUGCGUGAGGCCAUGGGAGCCGCCGGCGGGAGGGGAGUCCGCCCGGGGACACCGCGGCCCAGCGGUGCCUCUGACCCUCCUCUGUGUUUUCCACAUCCAUCCUGGUGCUGCCCCGUAGGGUGAGGGAGAAGGGCAGCGGCAGGGAGGUAACACGGACCCCGGAGCACCCUGGGGACUCGGGAGGACCCCGAGAGGCCGAAGGCAUAGUCAGUGCUGAGAGCAGGGAUCAAAAUGUGAUCAAAGCCCCCGGACCGCCCUGUAGGUGCGGGUUUUAAAAGCAAACGUGUCACGGGAAAUAAAUUUCUCACACCCGAGCCCGUUUCGGCGUCAAAAGGAACCUGACGGUGUGACGAGACUGUAAAACUCCAUUUGCAAAAAUCUGCUACGUCAGGAGUGCUCGGAGCAGGAGGAGUUCGUCGCGUCGGCCUCGUCUGCGCUAGUGGUAACACCCAGGACCUGCCUCCGGCCCCCAGAGCCGCCCCCCGGCCGCAGGGAAAGGACACGGGGGCCCCGACCCCCCGGCCCCCCUGGCCGCCUAAAGUGCAGGUUUGCUUUAGUUUUUGUUUUUCUUUCAUUAAAAAAAUAACAGGAAUAAAACUUUCUUUUUUUUUUUCUUUUUCUUCUUCUCUUUUCGGCAAAGGGACAUUGGGGCGAGCACUCAGGGAGGGAGGCGGCGCUCCUGGGGGAUCUGCUGCUCGGAGGGGGAUCCAGCACUCAGGGGAUCCAGCUCUCCAAGGAGGAUCCGGGACUCAGAGGAGGAUCCAGCGCUCCAAGGAUCCAGUUCUCAGAGGAUCAAACUCUCUGAGGAGGAUCCAGCUUGAAGAGAAGGGUCUGACACCUGGAGGAUCCAACUCUCAGAGGAUCCAACUUGGAGGAGGAUCCAAUGCCGGAAGGAGGAUCCAACACUCAGUGGAGAGCUGGUGCUUAGAGGAUCCAGCUCUUGGAGGAUCCAGCCAUCAGAGGAUCCAACUCUUGGAGCAUCUGGCUCUUGGAGGAGGAUCCAGGUCCCAGAGGAGAAUCUGGUUCUUGGAAGAUCUGGCUCUUGGAGGAGGAUCCAGUGCUCCCCCACUGACGUUUGUCCAAUCUCCUGGCCCGUUCUUUGCCCCAGAUGUGCCGGGGGAGCUGCCCGUGCCGGACCCGCUCUCAGCCGCUGCUCCAAGGCUGGAGCCCCCCAGGCCACUGUUCUGGGGCCUCGACCCUGUGGGCUCUGGGCCGUCCUGCCCGGAUCCAGGCUGUCCCACCGACACCCAACCCUAGCUCCGGCACCACUGGC